AUGGCCACGCCCUCUGUCUCAUGAGAUAUUGACGUCUUUUCCAAGAGUAAUUUCAAGAUACUGUAAAAGCAUAAUAUUUCGUUGGGAAAUUAAUUUCGUUUUUCGUUUAUAAAAACCGCGAAAUAUAAUCCCAACAAACUUUUUAAACACACAAAAUAUACCCUUAACGAAAAUAUGAAAUAAAGUACUAAAUUUAAUCACAAAUCCAUAUUGUAUUUACAUUAAGACACAAGUCAUGAUUAAUGGUGUAACUAUCGUUACAGGCACAGAGGUAAACACUUAAAACAACAGCGUGUCAAUCAAGCGUUAUAUUUGUAACACAGUUACAUCGCUCUUUGUAUGUAAAAUAUUGAGCAUGAUGGAUUUGACCAUUACCCAUCGAGUGAGUAAAUCUUGCCCGGUCUUAUAUCACCUGUACUAUAUAUUUACCUGCACUGUGUCGUCACGCUUGUCAAUUUAAACUUCUUAUUUACCAGAAAAAAAAGUACAGGGUUUUAAAUUAUUGAGAUUCCACGAAAUAUAAUUCCAACAAAUUUGUCCCCAUACAAAAACAACGAAAUUUAACCCUAACGAAAAUAUAUGCUUUUACAGUAGAACGCAACAAAGCAUUAGAGUUCCUGCUCCUGGUCAUAAUCUGUCGUUGUUUUUAGAGUUAGAAUUUUCACUAAAACAUCAUUUUAUUUUGAAUUGAUGUUGUUACAUUUAGCUUAUAAGGUGAAAGCUCUACAGAACCAUUUGACCCUUGCAUUGUCUGUCUAAGAGUACAAUGCUGUGAUGAUACAAAGAAAAGAUUCUUAUUUAACAUAUAGAAACAAAGAUCACUAUUACCCAACAUUAACAACUUUGAUUGUCUCUGGAUCCAGAAGCUUUUCAGGCUAUUUUUAAGUGUUUUGAAUUUUGAAAUAACAUGUCGAAUCUCUUUUAAUGAAAAAGUUCUGUUUGCAUUGAUCAUGAAUAACCAUUAGUAAUAAAAACAAAAAGUGAGAUUAGUUUUGCUUUCCGCUUUUACUGCUUUAUUGAAUUUUAGUUACCAGGUAAAAAGAAAACUACGGUAAAUGAUUUAGUACAAAACUAAAAUGUAUUGUGAUGUGACAAGGUAAAGUUGCUGUAUAUGAAAUCCCAGAUUCUCGAUAUUUCAGGUACUAGAUAUGGGAUUUUGUACAAAUGUUAAGUGCUGUUUAAAUUACUUUGAUAUCUAGAGUAACAAUUGUAGAACACAAGUAUCUGUCAGCCAGGUGUUUGACAGUUGUUUGACAGUUGUUUGACAGUUGUUUGACAGGUGUUUGACAGGUGUUUGACAGGUGUUUGACAGGUGUUUGACAGUUGUUUGACAGGUGUUUGACAGGUGUUCGACAGUUGUUUGUACACUCGUAGAUUGUUUACUCUGUGUAAGUUGUGUAUGUGUGUGUUGAAGCUGUGUACAUGCAUACAGUCAUGUACACUUGAAAGCAAAUGUUGUCUACACGUGUUUAAAAAGCAAGGAAGAAUGUUGAAUUCUGAUACAUGUGAAUAGGUGGUAGGUAAAGAACAAUUAGUUUUUACAUUGUUUACAGAUCAAAAUAAUAAAUCAUGAAUCAUUUCAUUUUGAUGAACAAACAGAAGUCCUUAUGGCCAUGCUUUACUUAUUUGAUUUGGAAAGAUGUCGGUCCCUGUUGUCGCACAUCAUGUGACAUCAGUAAUCACACAUCACUUAUUUGAUGUUGACAUAGGUCACUUGUGGUCGCACAUCACUUAUUUGAUGUUGACAUAUGAUAGGUCACUUGUGGUCACACAUCACUUAUUUGAUGUUGACAUAGGUCACUUGUGGUCGCACAUCACUUAUUUGAUGUUGACAUAGGUCACAUGUGGUCACCCAUCACUUAUUUGAUGUUGACAUAUGAUAGGUCACUUGUAGUCGCACAUCACUUAUUUGAUGUUGACAUAGGUCACAUGUGGUCACCCAUCACUUAUUUGAUGUUGACAUAUGAUAGGUCACUUGUAGUCGCACAUCACUUAUUUGAUGUUGACAUAGGUGACAUGUGGUCACACAUCACUUAUUUGAUGUUGACAUCUGAUAGGUCACAUGUGGUCGCACAUCACUUAUUUGAUGUUGACAUAGGUCACAUGUGGUCACACAUCAAUAAUUUGAUGUUGAAAUGCACAAUUUACUUAAUGUUGACAUAUGUCAGUUGAUGUCACACAUGACUUGUUUGAUGUUGACAUACGUCGUAUGUAAUGGUCACAUUACUUACUUGAUGUUGACAUACGUCGUAUGUAAUGGUCACAUUACUUACUUGAUGUUGACAUACGUCGUAUGUAAUGGUCACAUUACUUACUGGAUGUUGACAUACAUCGUAUGUAAUGAUCACACAUUACUUACUUGAUGUUGACAUACGUUGUAUGUAAUGGUCACACAUUACUUACUUGAUGUUGACAUACAUCAGUUGUUGUCACACAUGACUUGUUUGAUGUGGACAGGUGUCGGUUGUCACACAUCAUUAAUUUGAUGACACACAUGAGUUGUCAUCAUUUAAGUUAUUUGAUGUUGACUUGCGUCAGUUUUCAUCACACAUCACUUUUUUGAUGUUGACAUAGGUCACUUGUGGUCACACAUCACUUAUUGGAUGUUGAUAUAGGUCUCGUUGUCAGCCAUCGCUAUUUUGAUGUAGACAGACGACAGUUCUCGUUGUCAGCCAUCACUUAUUUGAUGUAGACAGACGUCAGUUCUCGUUGUUGGCCAUCACUUUUUUAUGUGGACAGAUGUUAGUUCUUGUUGUCAGCCAUCACUAGUUUGAUGUAGACAGAUGUCAGUUCAUGUUGUCAGCCAUCACUAGUUUGAUGUAGACAGACGUUAGUUCACGUUGUCAGUCAUCACUAGUUUGAUGUAGACAGAUGUCAGUUCAUGUUGUCGGCCAUCACUAGUUUGAUGUAGACAGACGUCAGUUCAUGUUGUCGGCCAUCACUAGUUUGAUGUAGACAGACGUCAGUUCACGUUGUCAGCCAUCACUAGUUUGAUGUAGACAGACGUUAGUUCACGUUGUCGGCCAUCACUAGUUUGAUGUGGACAGACCUUAGUUCACGUUGUCAGCCAUCAUUUGUUACUUCAUGAUCUUUACAUGCAAUAAAUUGUAUCAUUAUACCAUUGUAAAUGUAA